AGGAUGAACGCUGGCGGUCUGCUUAACACAUGCAAGUCGAACGGGCGUAGCAAUACGUUAGUGGCGGACGGGUGAGUAACGCGUGAGAAUCUACCUUCAGGACGGAGACAACAGUUGGAAACGACUGCUAACCCCCGAUGUACUGAAAAGGCAAAUAUUUAUAGCCUGAAGAAGAGCUCGCGUCCGAUUAGCUAGUUGGAGAGGUAAAAGCUCACCAAGGCGACGAUCGGUAGCUGGUCUGAGAGGACGAUCAGCCACACUGGGACUGAGACACGGCCCAGACUCCUACGGGAGGCAGCAGUGGGGAAUUUUCCGCAAUGGGCGAAAGCCUGACGGAGCAAGACCGCGUGGGGGAAGAAGGCUCUUGGGUUGUAAACCCCUUUUCUCUGGGAAGAAGUUGUGAAAGCAGCCUGACGGUACCAGAGGAAUCAGCAUCGGCUAACUCCGUGCCAGCAGCCGC
rnacentral:rRNA from 1 species